rnacentral:rRNA from 1 species
UACAGAGGUCACAAGCGUUAUCCGGAUUUAUUGGGCGUAAAGCGUUUCGUAGGUGGGUUGGUAAGUUACUCUUUAAAGACCACGGCUCAACCGGGGGAAGGGGGGUAAUACUACCAGUCUUGAUUUUUGGCGGGGCAUCUGGAACUGAUGGUGUAGUAGUGAAAUACGUUGAUAUCAUCAGGAACUCCAAGGGCGAAGGCAGGAUGCUAGCCAAUUAAUGACACUGAGGAACGACAGCUAGGGGAGCGAAAGGG